rnacentral:rRNA from 1 species
CCUACGGGAGGCAGCAGUGAGGAAUAUUGGUCAAUGGACGAGAGUCUGAACCAGCCAAGUAGCGUGAAGGAUGACUGCCCUAUGGGUUGUAAACUUCUUUUAUAUGGGAAUAAAAUGUUCCACGUGUGGGAUUUUGUAUGUACCAUAUGAAUAAGGAUCGGCUAACUCCGUGCCAGCAGCCGCGGUAAUACGGAGGAUCCGAGCGUUAUCCGGAUUUAUUGGGUUUAAAGGGAGCGUAGGUGGAUUGUUAAGUCAGUUGUGAAAGUUUGCGGCUCAACCGUAAAAUUGCAGUUGAAACUGGCAGUCUUGAGUACAGUAGAGGUGGGCGGAAUUCGUGGUGUAGCGGUGAAAUGCUUAGAUAUCACGAAGAACUCCGAUUGCGAAGGCAGUUCACUGGACCGCAACUGACACUGAGGCUCGAAAGUGUGGGUAUCAAACAGGAUUAGAUACCCCUGUAGUC